rnacentral:rRNA from 1 species
GACGAACGCUGGCGGCGUGCUUAACACAUGCAAGUCGAACGAAGAGCGAUGGAAGCUUGCUUCUAUCAAUCUUAGUGGCGAACGGGUGAGUAACGCGUAAUCAACCUGCCCUUCAGAGGGGGACAACAGUUGGAAACGACUGCUAAUACCGCAUACGAUCUAAUCUCGGCAUCGAGGAAAGAUGAAAGGUGGCCUCUAUUUAUAAGCUAUCACUGAAGGAGGGGAUUGCGUCUGAUUAGCUAGUUGGAGGGGUAACGGCCCACCAAGGCGAUGAUCAGUAGCCGGUCUGAGAGGAUGAACGGCCACAUUGGGACUGAGACACGGCCCAGCCUCCUACGGGAGGCAGCAGUGGGGAAUCUUCCGCAAUAGACGAAAGUCUGACGGAGCAACGCCGCGUGAGUGAUGACGGCCUUCGGGUUGUAAAGCUCUGUUAAUCGGGACGAAAGGCCUUCUUGCGAACAGUUAGAAGGAUUGACGGUACCGGAAUAGAAAGCCACGGCUAACUACGUG